rnacentral:rRNA from 1 species
ACCGGCGCACGGGUGAGUAACGCGUAUCCAACCUACCCUUCGUCCAUCGGAUAACCCGUCGAAAGGCGGCCUAACACGAUAUGCGGUUCACAGCAGGCAUCUAACGUGAACGAAAUGUGAAGGAGAAGGAUGGGGAUGCGUCUGAAUUAGCUUGUUGGCGGGGUAACGGCCCACCAAGGCGACGAUCAGUAGGGGUUCUGAGAGGAAGGUCCCCCACAUUGGAACUGAGACACGGUCCAAACUCCUACGGGAGGCAGCAGUGAGGAAUAUUGGUCAAUGGACGAGAGUCUGAACCAGCCAAGUAGCGUGCAGGAUGACGGCCCUAUGGGCUGUAAACUGCUUUUAUAGGGGGAUAAAGUGUGCCACGUGUGGCAUAUUGCAGGUACCCUAUGAAUAAGGACCGGCUAAUUCCGUGCCAGCAGCCGCGGUAAUACGGAAGGUCCGGGCGUUAUCCGGAUUUAUUGGGUUUAAAGGGAGCGUAGGCCGGAGAAUAAGCGUGUUGUGAAAUGUCGGGGCUCAACCUGGGCAUUGCAGCGCGAACUGUG